UGGGGGUGUAGCUCAGCUGGGAGAGCAUCUGCCUUGCACGCAGAGGGUCAUCGGUUCGAAUCCGUUCACCUCCAA
rnacentral:tRNA from 1 species